rnacentral:tRNA from 1 species
CGUCUCGUUGUGUAGGGGUAACGCGUUCUAACUAGAAAUUAGGGAGUCGUGAGUUCGAUUCUCACCGAGAAGA